rnacentral:rRNA from 1 species
UUCAACAACGGAUCUCUUGGCGCUGGCAUCGAUGAAGAACGCAGCGAAAUGCGAUAAGUAAUGUGAAUUGCAGAAUUCAGUGAAUCAUCGAAUCUUUGAACGCACAUUGCGCCCGCCAGUAUUCUGGCGGGCAUGCCUGUUCGAGCGUCAU